rnacentral:rRNA from 1 species
UGGGGAAUAUUGGACAAUGGGCGAAAGCCUGAUCCAGCCAUGCCGCGUGUGUGAAGAAGGUCUUCGGAUUGUAAAGCACUUUAAGUUGGGAGGAAGGGCAUUAACCUAAUACGUUAGUGUUUUGACGUUACCGACACAAUAAGCACCGGCUAACUCUGUGCCAGCAGCCGCGGUAAUACAGAGGGUGCAAGCGUUAAUCGGAAUUACUGGGCGUAAAGCGCGCGUAGGUGGUUUGUUAAGUUGGAUGUGAAAUCCCCGGGCUCAACCUGGGAACUGCAUUCAAAACUGACUGACUAGAGUAUGGUAGAGGGUGGUGGAAUUUCCUGUGUAGCGGUGAAAUGCGUAGAUAUAGGAAGGAACACCAGUGGCGAAGGCGACCACCUGGACUAAUACUGACACUGAGGUGCGAAAGCGUGGGGAGCAAACA